GAUUAAUGAUUUACCUGACGAUUUAUAGCACACGUGCUGAUAUAUAYUUAGAUAGGAGCGAUUGUAUUUCAGUUGUUGUGGAAUCAUUCGCACGCCGGAUCACAAGGACUCAAUAUAAUAUUGUUCAAAAGCGUAAUAGCAAGACAAAACMUUCAAAACACUUCUCUAGUUAUCUCAAACGAAUUUUUGACUAUUGCCAAUACACAUGUAAGGGUCACGCUCGACACGCUCGACAGUCCCAGAUAUUGAGGAAUUAGUACAAGAAUUAAAGAUAUUCUAGAGAAGGAAAA